AUACCAUGAUGUGGACACGUAACCAGCAGAACCUUGAACUCUCCCACGUUUCCUAUAACGUCUCUAUUGGUUUCUGUCUGAAGCUCAAUAUCUCAUUAAUUUGCU
rnacentral:snoRNA from 1 species